rnacentral:rRNA from 1 species
CCUACGGGGGACUGCAGUGAGGAAUAUUGGUCAAUGGACGAGAGUCUGAACCAGACAAGUAGCGUGAAGGAUGACUGCCCUAUGGGUUGUAAACUUCUUUUAUAUGGGAAUAAAACGUUCCACGUGUGGGAUUUUGUAUGUACCAUAUGAAUAAGGAUCGGCUAACUCCGUGCCAGCAGCCGCGGUAAUACGGAGGAUCCGAGCGUUAUCCGGAUUUAUUGGGUUUAAAGGGAGCGUAGGUGGAUUGUUAAGUCAGUUGUGAAAGUUUGCGGCUCAACCGUAAAAUUGCAGUUGAAACUGGCAGUCUUGAGUACAGUAGAGGUGGGCGGAAUUCGUGGUGUAGCGGUGAAAUGCUUAGAUAUCACGAAGAACUCCGAUUGCGAAGGCAGUUCACUGGACUGCAACUGACACUGAGGCUCGAAAGUGUGGGUAUCAAACAGGAUUAGAUACCCCUGUAGUC